rnacentral:rRNA from 1 species
UACGUAGGGCGCAAGCGUUGUCCGGAAUUAUUGGGCGUAAAGAGCUCGUAGGCGGUUUGUCGCGUCUGCUGUGAAAACCUGAGGCUCAACCUCGGGCUUGCAGUGGGUACGGGCAGACUAGAGUGCGGUAGGGGUGACUGGAAUUCCUGGUGUAGCGGUGGAAUGCGCAGAUAUCAGGAGGAACACCGAUGGCGAAGGCAGGUCUCUGGGCCACUACUGACGCUGAGAAGCGAAAGCAUGGGGAGCGAACAGG